AACGAACGCUGGCGGCAUGCCUAACACAUGCAAGUCGAACGAGACCUUCGGGUCUAGUGGCGCACGGGUGCGUAACGCGUGGGAACCUGCCCUUAGGUUCGGAACAACUCCCCGAAAGGGGUGCUAAUACCGGAUAAUGUCUUCGGACCAAAGAUUUAUCGCCUUUGGAUGGGCCCGCGUUGGAUUAGCUAGUUGGUAGGGUAAAAGCCUACCAAGGCGACGAUCCAUAGCUGGUCUGAGAGGAUGAUCAGCCACACUGGGACUGAGACACGGCCCAGACUCCUACGGGAAGCAGCAGUGGGGAAUAUUGGACAAUGGGCGAAAGCCUGAUCCAGCAAUGCCGCGUGAGUGAUGAAGGCCUUAGGGUUGUAAAGCUCUUUUACCCGGGAUGAUAAUGACAGUACCGGGAGAAUAAGCUCCGGCUAACUCCGUG
rnacentral:rRNA from 1 species